rnacentral:lncRNA from 1 species
UUCCGUUAAAUAACACGUAAAAUAAAUUAAAAAAACGUUACCCUAUUCCUUUACCAAAUAUUCCUUGGAGAAGAAAAACCAUUUGAAACGAACAGAAAAGAUAAAAAUGUAGUGAUCCAUAAUAUCUCAAUCCUUUUUUUUUCGGCUGUAAGCACGCUGUUGCAGCUAACGUUUUCUAAUGCGUUAUCGAGACAUCUCUAGUGAUAUUCAAACUACUUCAAAUUAUAAAAAUGGCUUUCAUAAAGUAGCAACCACUUAACUUACGUACGUUUUUAUUCCUUUUUUUUUCGAUGCUGGUGAUCAAACACUUUUUUUUCAAUAUUUAACACUAUAAUGUAUGGGGAAACUCUUGAUUCAGAAUAUUUUUUUUUAUUAUUUGUAUGACCUUUUUUUUUUUUUUAUCAAAUUGGGGAUCGGAAUAUUUCCAUUCCCAUCCCCCACCCCUCUUUUGAAGUCAAAUAGUUGUUCUCU